rnacentral:rRNA from 1 species
GACGAACGCCGGCGGCGUGCUUAACACAUGCCAGUCGAACGGAAAGGCCCUGCUUUUGUGGGGUGCUCGAGUGGCGAACGGGUGAGUAACACGUGAGUAACCUGCCCUUGACUUUGGGAUAACUUCAGGAAACUGGGGCUAAUACCGGAUAGGAGCUCCUGCUGCAUGGUGGGGGUUGGAAAGUUUCGGCGGUUGGGGAUGGACUCGCGGCUUAUCAGCUUGUUGGUGGGGUAGUGGCUUACCAAGGCUUUGACGGGUAGCCGGCCUGAGAGGGUGACCGGCCACAUUGGGACUGAGAUACGGCCCAGACUCCUACGGGAGGCAGCAGUGGGGAAUAUUGCACAAUGGGCGGAAGCCUGAUGCAGCAACGCCGCGUGCGGGAUGACGGCCUUCGGGUUGUAAACCGCUUUCGCCUGUGACGAAGCGUGAGUGACGGUAAUGGGUAAAGAAGCACCGGCUAACUACGUG